UGAUUCCCCCCACACGUGGGAAUCUAGAGCCCGGCCCCAGAUUCUCUCUAGGGGGAGGCAGCAGGUGGGGAAUUCGGACCAAUUGGCGAACGCCUGAUCCAGGCCAUGCCGCGUGAAGUGAAGAACGCUUCGGUUGUAAGCUUCUUUCCAGGUGGAAAGAAAAACCUUCCCGGGUGAAUACCCCGGGAGGCUGACGGUACCAUCAGAAGAAGCACCGGCUAACUACGUGCCAGCAGCCGCGGUAAUACGUAGGGUGCGAGCGUUAAUCGGAAUUACUGGGCGUAAAGCGUGCGCAGGCGGUUAUGUAAGACAGAUGUGAAAUCCCCGGGCUCAACCUGGGAACUGCGUUUGUGACUGCAUAACUAGAGUACGGCAGAGGGAGGUGGAAUUCCGCGUGUAGCAGUGAAAUGCGUAGAUAUGCGGAGGAACACCGAUGGCGAAGGCAGCCUCCUGGGCCAGUACUGACGCUCAUGCACGAAAGCGUGGGGAGCAAACAGGAUUAGAUACCCUGGUAGUCCACGCCCUAAACGAUGUCAACUAGUUGUUCGGUGAGGAGACUCAUUGAGUAACGCAGCUAACGCGUGAAGUUGACCGCCUGGGGAGUACGGCCGCAAGGUUAAAACUCAAAGGAAUUGACGGGGACCCGCACAAGCGGUGGAUGAUGUGGAUUAAUUCGAUGCAACGCGAAAAACCUUACCUACCC
rnacentral:rRNA from 1 species